rnacentral:rRNA from 1 species
UACGUAGGGUGCAAGCGUUGUCCGGAAUUAUUGGGCGUAAAGAGCUCGUAUGCGGUUUGUCGCGUCUGCUGUGAAAACUCAGGGCUUAACCCUGAGCCUGCAGUGGGUACGGGCAGACUAGAGUGUGGUAGGGGAGAUCGGAAUUCCUGGUGUAGCGGUGGAAUGCGCAGAUAUCAGGAGGAACACCGGUGGCGAAGGCGGAUCUCUGGGCCAUAACUGACGCUGAGGAGCGAAAGCAUGGGGAGCGAACAGG